GUUUGUCAUAAAUAGUUCUUAUUAUUUUGAGAUAUGUUCCCUCGAUACCUAGUUUAUUUAGAGUUUUUAGCAUGAAGGGGUGUUGAAUUUUAUCAAAGCCCUUUUCUGCAUCUAGUGAGAUAAUUCUGUGGUUUUUGUCAUUGGUUCUGUUUAUGUGUUAGAUUAUGUUUAUUAAUUUGUGUACAUUGAACCAGCUUGGGAUCCCAGGGAUGAAGCUGAGUUGAGUGUGGUGG